rnacentral:rRNA from 1 species
GACGUAGGGUCCGAGCGUUUGUCCGGAAUUACUGGGCGUAAAGAGCUCGUAGGUGGUUUGUCGCGUUGUUCGUGAAAACUCACAGCUCAACUGUGGGCGUGCGGGCGAUACGGGCAGACUAGAGUACUGCAGGGGAGACUGGAAUUCCUGGUGUAGCGGUGGAAUGCGCAGAUAUCAGGAGGAACACCGGUGGCGAAGGCGGAUCUCUGGGCCAUUACUGACGCUGAGGAGCGAAAGCGUGGGGAGCGAACAGG